rnacentral:rRNA from 1 species
UACCCCACUAUGCCUAGCCAUAAACUUUGAUUAUCCGCCAGAGUACUACGAGCCACAGCUUAAAACUCAAAGGACUUGGCGGUGCUUUAUACCCCCCUAGAGGAGCCUGUUCUAUAAUCGAUAAUCCCCGAUAAACCUCACCACCUAUUGCCAGUACAGCCUAUAUACCACCGUCCAGCCCGCCCUUUAAAGGAAAAACAGCAGGCAUAAUAACCAACAUUAAAACGUCAGGUCAAGGUGUAGCAAAUAAGAUGGAAAGAAAUGGGCUACAUUUUCUAAUUUAGAAUACACGGAUGAUUUUAUGAAAUAACUUCUGAAGGAGGAUUUAGCAGUAAAAAGAAACAAGAGUGUUCUUUUUAAACCGGCAAUAAAGCGCGCACACACCGCC